rnacentral:rRNA from 1 species
GGAUAACCUAACCUUAGGACUGGGAUAACCUUGGGAAACUGAGGCUAAUACCGGAUAGGCAAUUUUUCCUGUAAUGGUUUUUUGUUUAAAUGUUUUUUCGCCUAAGGAUGGGUCUGCGGCCGAUUAGGUAGUUGGUUAGGUAAUGGCUUACCAAGCCGUUGAUCGGUACGGGUUGUGAGAGCAAGAGCCCGGAGAUGGAACCUGAGACAAGGUUCCAGGCCCUACGGGGUGCAGCAGGCGCGAAACCUCCGCAAUGUGAGAAAUCGCGACGGGGGGAUCCCAAGUGCCAUUCUUAACGGGAUGGCUUUUCAUUAGUGUAAAGAGCUUUUGGAAUAAGAGCUGGGCAAGACCGGUGCCAGCCGCCGCGGUAACACCGGCAGCUCUAGUGGUAGCAAUUUUUAUUGGGCCUAAAGCGUCCGUAGCCGGUUUAAUAAGUCUCUGGUGAAAUCCUGUAGCUUAACUGUGGGAAUUGCUGGAGAUACUAUUAGACUUGAGACCGGGAGAGGUUAGAGGUACUCCCAGGGUAGAGGUGAAAUUCUGUAAUCCUGGGAGGACCGCCUGUUGCGAAGGCGUCUAACUGGAACGGUUCUGACGGUGAGGGACGAAAGUUAGGGGCGCGAACCGGAUUAGAUACCCGGGUAGUCCUAACUGUAAACGAUGCGGACUUGGUGUUGGGGUGGCUUCGAGCUGCUCCAGUGCCGAAGGGAAGCUGUUAAGUCCGCCGCCUGGGAAGUACGGUCGCAAGACUGAAACUU